rnacentral:pre_miRNA from 1 species
UUAACUGAAAUUUGUAUGCAGUUUGCCUACGUUUGCCGCUAGGGGCGCUGUUCCAACUGCAUACAAAUUUGAGUUA